CAUGGUGGUUGAGAGCAUCGCCACCGAGGUUCUUAGUCAUCGACGGGGUAAAUCGACAAAACACUGGAGGCCGACGUUGGCAGCGAUUACGGAGGACGGUGUUGCUCGGGAAAAAGUUCAUAUGAUUCUUAUGGUUUUGAUUAUAGUUGGGCAGGAAAGAUUCAGAAUUCAAAACUCUAACCAAUUCAUAUUAUAGAGGAGCCCAAAGAAUUAUAAUGGAUCUGUAGUUGUGAGCUCAAUUGCAUAAGUUCCAGCAGCUUGGAUACGAAGGCAUUACAGUUUAGAAUCACAAGUACAUUUAUGAAGGUACUUUUCUUCUCUAUAGUUCUUUAUGUGCUUCAAUUCCAACAAAUGUGGAUUCACUUAUAUUGAUCAAGACGAGGAUGGCCAAUGAGAGAGAGUGUGUGGGAUCCAAUACUCAGAUUUGCAUCAAGUUGUCACCUAUUCCAUUCGUACCCCACCUGAAUGGCCUCCCAUGUUACAAUUACCAGCUCCACAAUAUCGUGCAUUGAGAACUGAUUUUCUUUCAUUUGGAGACUUGCCUGGUGUUUGGAGUGUCUACAAGCACAUGAAAGAAUGUUGGAAGAACUAAAAAAGAAACCUGUCCAAAUUCCUACAUAAAAGGGCAGAUAUUGGAACAUUCUUUAGAUAGGAUCAAGUCAUAGAACUUGAUCUUYAUA